rnacentral:lncRNA from 1 species
CCCAUUUUGAGCUCCACAUCCACCUUUGGUUCACUCACUGCGUUCUGCAGCCUUAAAGCCAAGUUUGGGGAAGGAAGAAGACUGAACUUGAACUGGGAACCCCAAGAAAGGAUACAGUCCCCCUCAGCAGCAACCAUGAGGAAGUUACCCUUUGCCCAGUUGGAGAGACCCUGGAAUAGGUUACCUCCUCCUCAGCGUAUGGUUGCUCAGCAGAAAACAGUGAGUUAUUAACCAGGCUCGCGGCCCUCAAACUCUGGACCAGAAGUUCUCGACCUUUCUCUGAUCCAUGGCUUCAUUUGGCAGCUUUUGGAAACCCGUAGACCUCUUCUCGGAAUAACAUUUUGAAAUACUUGUCAUAAAUAUGUGGUAUCACAGAUGAACCAAUAUCCAAAUAGAGUUAUUAAAAUAUUAAAAAUGAAUGUGUGGUGUGAUACAUAUGCUUUCUUGUCCACAUUAAAUAAAAACAUUUAGCAGAAGAUCUAAUAGUUAGCAUCAUUUUGAAGAAGUAAUAAGGGGGAAUAGUAUUUUAAGAUGCUUGC